UAGCCGGCCUUGAGAAGGGUGACCGGGCCACACUUGGGACUGAGACACGGCCCAGACUCCUACGGGAGGGCAGCAGUGGGGACAUAUUGCACAAAUGGGCGAAAAGCCUGAUGCAGCGACGCCGCGUUGAGGGAUGACGGGCCUUUCGGGUUGUAAACCUCUUUCAGUAGGGGAAGAAGCGAAAGUGACGGUACCUGCAGAAGAAGCGCCGGGCUUAACUACGUUGCCAGCAGCCGCGGUUAAUACGGUAGGGGCGGCAAGCGUCUCAUCCGGGAAUUUUAAUUGGGGCGUAAAAAGAGCUUCGUAGGGCGGUUUGUCGCGUCUGCCGUGAAAGUCCGGGGCUCAACUCCGGAUCUGCGGUGGGUACGGGCAGACUAGAGUGAUGUAGGGGAGACUGGAAUUCCUGGUGUAGCGGUGAAAUGCGCAGAUAUCAAGGAGGAACACCGAUGGCGAAGGCAGGUCUCUGGGCUUUAACUGACGCUAGGAGCGAAAGGCAUGGGGGAGCGAACAGGCAUUAGAUUACCCCUUGGGUCAGUCCAUGCCGUAACGUUGGGCACUAGGUGUGGGGGACCAUUCACGUUUUCCGCGCCGGUAAGCUUACGCAUUUAGUGCCCCGGCCUUGGGGGAAGUACGGCCGACAAGGGCUAAACUUCAAAGGAAUUGACGGGG
rnacentral:rRNA from 1 species